AGAGCGGCGCAGGUCGGACUCGGCCGCCCAGCCUCGGCCUGGGGGAGGUGCCGCUCCCCGCGUCCCUCUCCUCGCUCUCCAAGCAUCCCCUGUCGCAGGCGGGAGACUGGGAUCGAUUGGAGGUCGGAGGGCGCUUGAGAACCUGUUUCCCAGGCCUGGGGAGGAGAGCGCGCCGGAGCCCUCUUGUCCCUAGGGAGAAAAGGAGUUUUGCUCUUCGCUUCUUCUUCUGGCUGCCGAGGGCCAGAGGCAGCCACCAGCCUACCCCUCCAGGCAACCCCCUCCCCGCCCGGCUGCUUCCUCUCUCCAGAGGCCGGACCCGCGGCUGGCUGGCGCCGCGGCUGCUUUUCCACGUCCCGAUUUCUCCGCAGUCUGCAGUCUAUCCCCGUCUGCGCCGCGGGACAGAGCACCGGGGCCCGGGAUCCAGAAGCCCCUACCAAUCCGGCCAGCGUCAGUCUCACGCCUGAGGGGCCUGUUCCCGGGUUGCACGCAAAACAGCCCCAGCGACCUCCGGGACGCCACGGGGAGCUCCCAGGCCUCCACCUGGAGAGGACUUGGUAGAGGAAGACAGCCUCCGUGCCGCCUACACGGAGCCAGGCAGCCUUCAGCGCCUCCGAGCCGCCUGCCCGCACUCGCCGACUGGAGGAACCGGAGCUGGCGCCCGAGACGCUGCAGCCCUACUCCCACUCUGGUGAGGAAACCAAGGACUAAAGAGAAGUCACAUAUCUGGGCUCCAGAGCCAGAGUCCCUAACCACUGUACUGCACUGUGCUGGUCCCUGUGCCUGGAAUCUUUGUCCUCUGUCUUCUCUCCAUAAUUACCAGCAACUCAAAACUCCUGCUUCAAAUCUCAGGCCAGCAUCACCUCCUCCCGGAAGCCCCCCACAUUCUUCACAUUGGAUUCAGUGCCCUUCUCAUUGCUCCUGUAGUACCUGUCCAUCCCAUCAUACUCUCUACAUUUUCCUCACAGCCUGGGCCCUGAACACAGCAGGAGGGUUUGUCUCCUGUACCUUUUUCUAGCUCUGACAGCCAGCAUGGUACCUGGAACAUAGUAGAUGUUCGAUAAAUGUUAGAGGGAAGGUGAGAAAGGGAAGGAAGGAAGACAGAAAGGGAUGGGGGAGUGGCAUGGAGACGGAAUGGAGGAAAGUUGUGAAAGAAUUGGGCCCUCUUGGGCAGGAUGAUUCUUCCAGAGAGAGCAGAAGUAGCAGUUGGCUUAGAGGAACUGUGGACACCUUUGCCCUUCCACAAAAUGAGGCCCAGUGAGCUUCCACAUAUCAGUUAGAAACUGCAUCUGCUGACGAUGACAAAGACCCUUAAAGAGUAGCUUAAAGAAUAUGGAUAUUCUCUUCUCUCAGGAUGGAGGUGGACAGUCCAGGCUAAAAAUGGCCCUUGGUUAUCAGGGACCCAGGAUGCUCUGUCUUUGGCUAUAUCAGACCAACCAAGAAGUUUUUUGUUUUUUUGGGUUGUUUUUUUUUUUCUUUUUACAGCUGCACCUGCAGCAUAUGGAAGUUCCUGGGCUAGGGGUCAAAUCAGAGCUGCAGCUGCCAGCCUACGCUACAGCCACAGCAAUAUCAGGUUCAAGCCACAUCUGCAAACUAUGCUACAGCUUGUGGCAACAUUAGAUCCUUAACCCACUGAGUGAGGCCAGGCAUCGAAGCCGCAUACUUACAGAGACUACAUUGGGUUUUAAACCUGCUGAGCCCCAUUGGGAACUCUGCCACCAGGAAGCUUUCCUCCUCGCAUCAUCUAAGUCCAAGAUGGCUGCUUGAGCUCAGCAACCAUCACCUCAUUCCAGGCAACAGGAAGGAGCAGUGAAAAGAGGUAAAAGGGUCCCCUCCCUUUUAAUGAGACUUUCUGGAAUCCACUGACAACUUCUCAGCUUAUACCUCAUUGGGCAGACUCUAACCACAUGGCCACACUUAGCUGCAAGGAAGGCUGGGACCUGUUUAGUUGGGUACACUGUUGCCUGAAAUAAACUCAGGGUUCUGUUACUCAGGGGAGUAACAGCAGCAAGGGUGGGAGUUAGGGUAGAACAUCAGUAGACUCCUCAGCAAGCCACAGACAGGGUCACCCAGAAAUGGAGUCAGGAAGCAGCUCUCUUGGUGGUGGCCUUCCAGGGGGUCACUGGUUGGUGGCUUGUACCUCUAAACCACAUAUUCUUGUUGACAAAGGAGACAAAGCCCUCAGACAUUGUAACUCUUGUUCGUUUUUGGUGCUCAGAGUUGCCCACUACAAUGAUUUAGAGUGGGAUUUGUCAAAAGUAAUUUUUAUCCCUAUUAAGAUCUUUGGUUAGAGAUCUAUUCAUUUUAGCCCUGAACCCCUCUCACACAAUACCAAUCCAGGAAGAAGCGAUUGUCUUUGAAAAACAACAACAACAAGAAAAUCCCAUGGGGUCAGAGUUCCUAUUGUGACUCAAUGGAUUAAGAUCCCAAUAUAGUGUCCGUGAGGAUGAGGGUUCAAUCCCUGGCCUCGAUCAGUGGGUUAAGGGUCUGGUGUUGUCGCAAGCUGUGGCAUAGGUCACACAUGCGACUUGGAUAUGGUGUUGCUGUGGCUGUGGCAGAGGUCUCAGCUGCAGUUCAUAUUUGAACCUUAGCCUGGGAACUUCCAUAUGUCACAGAUGCGGCCCUUAAAAAAAAAAAAAAAUCCCAGGGAGUGACAUUGUAAACCUACCUCCCCCCCUCUUCCACGUUACUGGAAAAAAACUGAAGACAGCCUCCAACUCAAAACAGAAGCAAAUCAAUGCUAAGUCAAGUCUACACUAACCCUACCUUCAAUCAUUAUAGUGUAACUACAGAAAUCUAAAAGAAACAAGACACAACCAUAAAGAACACAAAUGCUAUCACUUACACCACUCGAGCGAGUUUGAAUCAUGCCUCCCACAUAUACCUGCACUUGGCCCUUGGGGACCACCUAUGCCAGAUCCUGGAGAGUGCAGGAGCAGGGUGUAGGUGGAGCUUGGAGAAAGGAAAAGGAGACUCCUAGGACCCGAAGGGGUGAUGAGAAAGCAGGAACAGGGAUGCAUGUAUGGGAGCAGCUUGGCUGCCCUGCUGCUGGAAGCUUUCUCAGUUUUAAGUCUAACAAGGAAGACACAUUUCAGAGUUCUGGGCUGAUUUCUUUGCAUCUCUCUGUGUGUCUCUGACAGUUUUCUCUCACGGGCUUUAGAAACAUGCCCUCCCCCACUUCCUCCAGGGGCAGCUCCUGUGGAGUGGGAAUUCUAUACCCUCCGCAUCAAUAGGUCUUAAGCCUUUUGUGGGCUGAGGGAUGGAUGCAGAAACCACAGCCUUUUUUUUUUUUUUUUUUUUUUUUUUUUUUGAGAAUCUACUAAAGGCAAUGGCCCCUCUUUAUAGAAAUAAGUACAUGUAUGCUCAACAUUGGAAAAUCAUUUCAGGUAAUUUCUGGGCCUGCAUAUUUUAAAUCUCUGAUCUUAAAGGAAAUCCAAGAAUCAAAUAUAAAAAGAGCAUGCCUUUGGGAAACACCCUGAGGGACUCUGGGUUUUUCCUUUUUACAUUUUCCUGACCAAGGCGACAUUCCAACUACUCUGUAUAAUUAGCUAUAAGGAAUAACACUUUAUGACAACCUACUGCAGGCCAGUGUUAACAUAUGCAACCUUCACAAUAACCCUAUGAAGUGGGCACUAUCAUUGGCCCCACUUUAUAGAUGAGGAAACUGAAGCACAGAGAGAUAAAGUGACUUGCCCAAGAUCACACAGCCAGGAAGUGGCAGGGCUGGGAUUAGGAUUAUAAACUGUUAGGACUCCAGGGCCAUCUUUUUUGUGCUUUUCACCACUCCAUAGUGGCCCUUACCUCUUGGUACACUGAAGCCACACAAAUCGACCUAACCCUAAUGCAGCUAUCAGGCUCUGCCCAGUAGUAUGCUGGAAUCAGCUCAACCUGGCUCACAAGAGCCAACUGUGCGCAUCUCUUCCCAACCCCUGCUAUGAUGAUAGCUUGAAAUCAGCCAUGCUGGGAGUAUUUACACCACAGCAAUUGGCAGAUACCAUAAGUGAAGGCUUUCCCCUCAGAGAGCUGUUAUGAAGCAUUUACUAGCACGCCACUGGACCCACUUAUUCUAGCCCCACUCAGAUAGCUGCAACCUGCAGAUCCAGCUACCUGGGGAUCCUCCUAGCCAGUGAGGAGGACUUGGAUGUAGUCUGCUGCCUUCAGGCUGAGCGUGUGGGGUAAGAGGGAGAAUGGAGCCUCCUCUCUGACCCCACCAUAUGCAGGCUGUCUUCCAGCUGCCCUCAGCACCUUCCCUCUCCUAGAAGCCAGGCCUGGUCAUCUGGAGUCCAGAUCUUUUAUACCACAGCAGACUGACCAUUGUGGGACGAUUCUGACAGCACACCUGAUGUAGGGGGCCCUUGGCUGCCUAAAAGCUACAGCUGCCUUCCCAGCUCUGUACCCUUGUCAAUGGAUCCUUAGCUAUUGAUUUCAGCCUGAGAUGGUUUAAGCCUGUCCCUCUGGGGUUGGCCCCUCUCUCCAGCCCCACUAGAUUCCAGCCCUGCUUCCUCUUCUCUACCUUCAGGGAGCACCCAGCAAACUGCCCAGCUGGGACCAAGACAGCUGAGACAGUGCACAUUUUCUGAUUUUUGUCCACAGGGAAACCCCAUCCAACAGCAAGGAUUCCAGUGGGCCAGGCCUACACUGGAGGCUUCCGUAUGCCCUCUCAGCAAAAGUCUCAGACCACAGGAAAGAAAAUAGAUUAAUAUAAUUUAGUGAGCAUUUUCCUUGUGCCAAGAGCUUUAUAUUAUCUUUUUUUUUAAUUCCUAUAAGAUCUCUAGGAAAUAAGUAUUAAUCUAUAUUAACCUAUUAAUAAUCUAUUAGACUAUAUUUAUCUCAUGUUAAAAAAGAGAAGGAGUUUCCACCACAGUGCAGUGGGUUAAGAAUUCGAUUGCA
rnacentral:lncRNA from 1 species